rnacentral:rRNA from 1 species
UACGAAGGUGGCAAGCGUUGUUCGGAUUUACUGGGCGUACAGGGAGCGUAGGCGGUUGGAUAAGCCCUCCGUGAAAUCUCCAGGCUUAACCUGGAAAGUGCAGAGGGGACUGUUCAGCUAGAGGAUGGGAGAGGAGCGCGGAAUUCCCGGUGUAGCGGUGAAAUGCGUAGAUAUCUGGAGGAAUACCGGAUGGCGAGGACGGCGAUCCUGGACCGAGAUUGACACUAAAGCGCGAAAGCCAGGGGAGCAAACGGG